rnacentral:rRNA from 1 species
UGGGGAAUAUUGGGCAAUGGGCGCAAGCCUGACCCAGCAACGCCGCGUGAAGGAAGAAGGCUUUCGGGUUGUAAACUUCUUUUAUUCGGGACGAUAAUGACGGUACCGAAUGAAUAAGCCACGGCUAACUACGUGCCAGCAGCCGCGGUAAUACGUAGGUGGCAAGCGUUAUCCGGAUUUACUGGGUGUAAAGGGCGUGUAGGCGGGACUGCAAGUCAGAUGUGAAAACUAUGGGCUCAACCCAUAGCCUGCAUUUUGAAACUGUAGUUCUUGAGUACUGGAGAGGCAGGCGGAAUUCCGUGUGUAGCGGUGAAAUGCGUAGAUAUACGGAGGAACACCAGUGGCGAAGGCGGCCUGCUGGACAGCAACUGACGCUGAGGCGCGAAAGCGUGGGGAGCAAACAGGAUUAGAUACC